rnacentral:rRNA from 1 species
GACGAACGCUGGCGGCGUGCUUAACACAUGCAAGUCGAACGAUGAAGCCUUAGCUUGCUUUGGUGGAUUAGUGGCGAACGGGUGAGUAACACGUGAGCAACGUGCCCAGGACUCUGGAAUAACCGCGGGAAACCGUGGCUAAUACCGGAUAGGUGCCGAGGCCGCAUGGUCUUCGGUUGGAAAGUUUUUGCGGUUCUGGAUCGGCUCACGGCCUAUCAGCUUGUUGGUGGGGUAAUGGCCUACCAAGGCGACGACGGGUAGCCGGCCUGAGGGGGUGACCGGCCACACUGGGACUGAGACACGGCCCAGACUCCUACGGGAGGCAGCAGUGGGGAAUAUUGCACAAUGGGCGCAAGCCUGAUGCAGCAACGCCGCGUGGGGGAUGACGGCCUUCGGGUUGUAAACCUCUUUUAGUAGGGAAGAAGCGCAAGUGACGGUACCUGCAGAAAAAGCACCGGCUAACUACGUG